CCCGUCUCUCUCUCUCAGGGCUGACCCCCACCCCACCUCAGGGCUGACCGGCUGACCCCCACCCCAACCCCCGGGCACACACACCGGCGGCGCUGCCCGCCCCCGUCCUAGCUUAGGUUGCCAUCGGCCGGAUCGAUGAGGCAGCAGCCGGAUGUGGCCCAUCAUGCCUCCAGGUCUCCACCCCCCGUGGCGGCGACCAUCCUCUUCUCCGGUCGGUGGCGGCGGCAGCAUCACCGCUCUUGCUCGAGCUGCGUCCGACAGGGGAGAGGAAGGGCAGGAGACGUGUUCUUCUCAAUUCUUCAUAUCCAGCUACUAGCUUCAGCUCUUUGCCGUACGUGGAGGUGCCGGUGCUGAAGAUGAAUUCAGGAUGGAAUUUCUGAUUCUGGGGAUGCCUCUGUGGCAGCAAGAGAAGCAAUUUUCACUUUCAGCUUCACAAUGACCAAGAUAUACUUAACAACCUUGGUGAUGGUGAUGUCAUCAGCAGUAUCAAUGGUGGCACCUGGACCUCUGUAUUGCACCGAGUUCAGCUGCAGGA